UACAGAGACUGCAAGCGUUAUUCGGAUUCACUGGGCGUAAAGGGUGCGCAGGCGGCCGGGUGUGUCAGAUGUGAAAUCCCGAGGCUUAACCUCGGAACUGCGUCUGAAACUACUCGGCUAGAGGAUUGGAGAGGGUAACGGAAUUCACGGUGUAGCAGUGAAAUGCGUAGAUAUCGUGAGGAACACCAGAGGCGAAGGCGGUUACCUGGACAAUUACUGACGCUCAGGCACGAAAGCAUGGGGAGCAAAAGGG
rnacentral:rRNA from 1 species